AACCAGUGAUGUGAUGAUUCUGCCAAAUGAGACAAUGUGAUAUCACCUUUAAAACCAUUCCAAACGAAAACAAAAAAAGAUCAGAAUCAGACGUU